GACGGUUCGGUGGGUUUGACCUUGCCACACAAUGAGAAAAUCUCAUUGUUGAUGAUUUAAGUGUUGUAAAAUGAAAAAGCAUGCAUGUUCAUGUUAGAUGCAUUAUUUGUGAAUUUUAGAAUGCUUAAGAUGCCUAUGUUAUAUACAUUGCAUAUUUGACCUCUAUGUACUAGAGAGUUUUCAUGUUGGGCUAGGGGCCUAUGGUUAGCAUUCUUAUAUUUAAUUGAGAUCAUGUUGCAUAUGGUGCAUAUGGCAUAUAGAUUACACUCUUGGACUUAGAACGCAUGCUUGACAUGGUUGGACAUAUCGACAUUAAGUGGCAUAGGCUAGAAUGGAUACAAAGAGUAAGCUAAUGUCAUAAAGCGGCAUUAGGCUUGGACUAGACAUGGACUUAGCA
rnacentral:lncRNA from 1 species